rnacentral:lncRNA from 1 species
GGCAAGCACAACGGGACAGUCCAGGAGAGGGUUUACUUCCGCUGUCCUCCAGGCCACGGGGUGUUCGUCAAGCCCUCCUGUCUCACUAGAGGACCCCCCUCCAUGGACACCACAGACCCCCAGCCUCUGGUCCGAUAAAAUUCACUAAACUCCCCAAAUUCCCAGUCUUUCCAGGAAUCCCAGUUGGAAUAUUCCCAGAAUCAGGAGGGAAUAAGAAGGAACUCAUACCAGCAUUUCUGGAAAACCUGGGAAUUUGAGGAAAGUGACUUUCCACCCAGGACUAUCAUCUAAAGGGGGUCCCCAGAUCCAGAACAGUUCCUACUAGACCAGGCCCAGAUCCUGAACAGUUCCUACUAGACCAGGACCAGAUCCAGAACAGUUUCUACUAGACCAGGGCCAGAUCCAGAACAGUUCCUACUAGACCAGGGGCAGAUCCAGAACAGUUCCUACUAGACCAGGGGCAGAUCCAGAACAGUUUCUACUAGACCAGGGCCAGAUCCAGAACAGUUCCUACUAGACCAGGGUCAGAUCCAGAACAGUUCCUACUAGACCAGGGUCAGAUCCAGAACAGUUCCUACUAGACCAGGCCCAGAUCCUGAACAGUUCCUACUAGACCAGGGUCAGAUCCAGAACAGUUCCUACUAGACCAGGGGCAGAUCCAGAACAGUUCCUACUAGACCAGGCUCAGAUCCAGAACAGUUCCUACUAGACCAGGGUCAGAUCCAGAACAGUUCCUACUAGACCAGGGGCAGAUCCAGAACAGUUCCUACUAGACCAGGCUCAGAUCCAGAACAGUUCCUACUAGACCAGGGUCAGAUCCAGAACAGUUCCUACUAGACCAGGGCCAGAUCCAGAACAGUUCCUACUAGACCAGGGCCAGAUCCAGAACAGUUCCUACUAGACCAGGGGCAGAUCCAGAACAGUUCCUACUAGACCAGGGUCAGAUCCAGAACAGUUCCUACUAGACCAGGGGCAGAUCCAGAACAGUUCCUACUAGACCAGGGGCAGAUCCAGAACAGUUCCUACUAGACCAGGGCCAGAUCCAGAACAGUUUCUACUAGACCAGGCCCAGAUCCAGAACAGUUCCUACUAGACCAGGGCCAGAUCCAGAACAGUUCCUACUAGACCAGGGCCAGAUCCAGAACAGUUCCUACUAGACCAGGGCCAGAUCCAGAACAGUUCCUACUAGACCAGGCCCAGAUCCAGAACAGUUCCUACUAGACCAGGGCCAGAUCCAGAACAGUUCCUACUAGACCAGGCCCAGAUCCAGAACAGUUCCUACUAGACCAGGGCCAGAUCCAGAACAGUUCCUACUAGACCAGGGCCAGAUCCAGAACAGUUCCUACUAGACCAGGGCCAGAUCCAGAACAGUUCCUACUAGACCAGGGCCAGAUCCAGAACAGUUCCUACUAGACCAGGACCAGAUCCAGAACAGUUCCUACUAGACCAGGGCCAGAUCCAGAACAGUUCCUACUAGACCAGGGCCAGAUCCAGAACAGUUCCUACUAGACCAGGGCCAGAUCCAGAACAGUUCCUACUAGACCAGGCCCAGAUCCAGAACAGUUCCUACUAGACCAGGGCCAGAUCCAGAACAGUUCCUACUAGACCAGGGCCAGAUCCAGAACAGUUCCUACUAGACCAGGGCCAGAUCCAGAACAGUUCCUACUAGACCAGGGCCAGAUCCAGAACAGUUCCUACUAGACCAGGGCCAGAUCCAGAACAGUUCCUACUAGACCAGGGCCAGAUCCAGAACAGUUCCUACUAGACCAGGGCCAGAUCCAGAACAGUUCCUACUAGACCAGGCCCAGAUCCAGAACAGUUCCUACUAGACCAGGGCCAGAUCCAGAACAGUUCCUACUAGACCAGGGGCAGCUGUCAGCGCUCAACAGCUGAGGCCGAAAACCAGCUCUUCUCUCAUUCUCACCCUCCCUCUGUUCCACUAGACUUCCGAUCAUGUGUUCUGUCUGUGGGUAUAAACAUCUGCUUUCCCUUUAACAUAUCUGUCCCAUGCGUUUUAUGAAGGCAUAUCAUCAUUCAAUAUCGUUGUUCACUGAAAGUCAAACGCACACAUCCAAGUUUCCUGCUGCGUUAUUUUAGCUAGAGAGCGUGUAGAUGGAUAGACAUGACCCACACGUGUUUAUCUAACGCUAGUAUCAUUCAAUCAGCUCAGCAGCUGAUCCUGUUGAAACACCAGAUCUUCCUGUAAUGGUGACAGAGUUGUCAUCUGGGGUGUGUGGAUCCAGAAUGUACUAGUGUUGAUAACUCACUGAUAUCCGGAUUGGUUAUCCAAGUCACUGUGAUAUGUCGUCAGGGGUAACCAAAGAACUAAGGUUUCAUAUCUGCUGUUUUAACUGAUAUCUUAUGUUGCUUGUGUGUGUGUGUGUGUAUGUGUGUGUAUCUGUGUGUGUGUGUGUACAUAUUAUAUGUGUGUCAAAGUAAACAUAGUGCCU